GAUGAACGCUGGCGGCGUGCCUAAUACAUGCAAGUCGAGCGAACGGACGAGAAGCUUGCUUCUCUGAUGUUAGCGGCGGACGGGUGAGUAACACGUGGCUAACCGACCUAUAAGACUGGGAUAACUUCGGGAAACCGGAGCUAAUACCGGAUAAUAUUUUGAACCGCAUGGUUCAACAGUGAAAGACGGUCUUGCUGUCACUUAUAGAUGGAUCAGCGCUGCAUUAGCUAGUUGGUAAGGUAACGGCUUACCAAGGCAACGAUGCAUAGCCGACCUGAGAGGGUGAUCGGCCACACUGGAACUGAGACACGGUCCAGACUCCUACGGGAGGCAGCAGUAGGGAAUCUUCCGCAAUGGGCGAAAGCCUGACGGAGCAACGCCGCGUGAGUGAUGAAGGUCUUCGGAUCGUAAAACUCUGUUAUUAGGGAAGAACAUAUGUGUAAGUAACUGUGCACAUCUUGACGGUACCUAAUCAGAAAGCCACGGCUAACUACGUG
rnacentral:rRNA from 1 species